rnacentral:misc_RNA from 1 species
AAAGUCGUAACAAGGUUUCCGUAGGUGAACCUGCGGAAGGAUCAUUGCUGAGAGAGAGUGGUUGGGGAGGGUGGAGGUGGGUUGGGGUGUUGGGUGGGUUGGAAAUAAUGACUCACUCACUCUCUCACUCGCUGUUCAUCACCCACACAUUUGCGCUUGUUUUGUUUGACAAAGUAAACCAUGUGAUAAAUAAUGACAACUUUUAACAAUGGAUCUCUUGGCUCUU